AUACGUAUCCAGAGUCGGUUAACAUAAGUGCUUCACAGAGCCACCGUACAAAUGGAAUGGAAUGACACGAUGCAGUCCGAAUGGCAAAUCGUAACCCGUGUGGUUCUCUACAAGAAGCCAUACGAAAACCGGAACAAACAACAUCCGGGUCAAAGGGUGACUCUGGAACAACUUGAGCGCAAAAUUGGCGGACAAAAUUAAUACUAUUCUUUCAACCACCGUGAGUUUGUUGGUCACGUGAGGAUGCAUGACGUCAUGGUGAUGGUGGUGAGCGUGGAUAUUUCGAAAGAGCCAUAAGUUUUUGUGGAAAAAUAGAUGAACAAUGAAAAAGAAGACAUCGAAUGUCAUGAUAGAAGCAAUGAGAUCGAACAAAACGCGUCCGAGCUCUGGCGGAUCCAAAGGUAAAGCCCGGGUGUGUUGUAUAACGGACUGCUGUUUGGUUUUCCAUAGACUUGGAUCCACACCGUGAUAUUUUUUGACAGUAACUGUAUCCAGAAACAUUAAUGGCGCCAUAUAAAUCACAGCUUCUUUCAGCAUCCCAAGAACAGUUUGAUGCACGUAUGUAACCGACGGAUCGAUUUUAUACUUGUUAAAACUCGGUAUAAAAUGUAUAGUAAAUGGAUAUAGAGGAACAAUCCAAGCAAAGCAAAACGUGGCCCACCAAGUUUCAAAGUACACGGAAUUAAAAAUCCAAGAUUUUUGCAAAAACAGCCAAGAACUGUUGAUGGUGUUUUGAAGGAUUUCACGAUAGAAGACACAAGAAACGGAAAUGAAAAUAACGAUGAUUCUGACUGCCCAGGUAAUGCACGUGUCCAGGGAAUAGUCACGACGCUCGACGCUGACGACAUCCUGGGAUUCUUUGGUCAAUGGAGCUGCAUUGUUUGUACUUGCGAUUGGAGAUUGCAGGUCUGGAAAUCUGUUAGAUCUUCCCAUGUUUCUGCUGAUAUCUGCAAUAAAGUAUUAAGAUUGUU
rnacentral:sRNA from 1 species